GCAAAAUUUUUUCUAGGACUGUUAUGAGUAUUACUUUUGAUAAUGAUAUGCAGUCUUGCUGUUCUGUAGCAGCUCGGGUGAGAGGCCCAUAGUAGAAGUCCUUUAAGGACUCGCAAUCCUAUGCAAAGAAUCUGUUAAUUAUGUCAUCCAUAGUUAACAACUUACAAUCUUGGCUCUUAGGAUUUCUUAUCCUUUUUAUUUAUUUAUUAUGUUUCAACCUGUCGUAUAUCUAUUUCUCUCUUUUUUUUUU
rnacentral:misc_RNA from 1 species